rnacentral:snoRNA from 1 species
UUGGGCUGAGGAUGAUUUCAAGUUAUCCCUGUCUGAAAUGACAUCUUUUGUGAAGAGUCGUGGUUUACUGAGGCUCAA